UCUCUCUCUCUCUCUCUCUCUCUCUCUCUCUCUCUCUCUCUCUCUCUCUCUCUCUCUCUCUCUCUCUCUCUUCUCUCCUCUGAAUACAGUUAGGACGAGGGAGAAGAACCCAAUAUAGGAAAGGAAGGAUGGAGAAGAAGAGGUUGGCGAGGGAGACAGACGAGAACCUUCGCUCUCUCUCUCUCUCUUCCUCUCAUGUCGUUUCUUCUGAGUCGUCUGGAAUGAGGAAAAAGAAAACAGAGGCCAUCGGUCACGAUCGAUUAUCCAGGGUGUGCAUCUAGGUCAGGUUCGUUUGUUAAGACUGAGGUUGUGUUGUAGAUUAUCGAUUUACAAAUAAAGGAAAAGAAAUCAAAUUCUUGAAGGUAAGAUCUAAACCUUACAUUAGAAUUUUGUGCUAUUGAAAAUUGAAAUAGACGAAUUGUAAUUAUUUUCUUGAUUAAAAACUAGGUCAGGGUGUUACAGCCUUGACCCGCCUUAGGUUGCCUAGGGUAGCUAAGGAGCCGCCAUGACCCACUUAGGGCCGGCAUGACCCGCUUAGGGGCUCCUUGACCCGCCUAUAGCCGCCUUGACCUGUUUUGGCCCGCCUUCAACUGCCUUGACCCUUCUAGGGCCACGAAGAGGCCGCCUUGACCCGACUAGGGCUGCCAAGGGGCCGCGUUCACCCGACUAAGGCCGCCAAAGGGGCGCCUUGACCCACCAAAGGGCUGCCUUGACCUACCUAGGGCCGCUAAGCGGCCGCCUUAACCCGUCUUGGGCUACCUAGGGUAGCAAAGGAGCCGCCAUUACCUGCCUAGGGCCGCCAAGUGGCCGCCUUGACAUGCCUAGGGCCCCAAAGCGGCCGCCUCGACCCGCCUUGACCCUUCUAUGGCAGCCAAGAGACCAUCUUAACCCAUCUAGGGCCACGAAAGGGCCGCCUUAACCCGGUUAGGGCCACCAAGGGGCAGCGUUCACCCGACUAAGACCGCCAAAAGGCCGCCUUGACCCGCCAAGGGGCCGCCUUGACCUGCCAAGGGCCCCAAAGCCAAGGGGCCGCCUUGACCCGCCAAGGGACUGCCUUGACCUGCCUUGUGCCGCCCUGACCCU
rnacentral:lncRNA from 1 species